rnacentral:tRNA from 7 species
GCGGACGUGGCGGAAUUGGCAGACGCGCAAGAUUCAGGUUCUUGUGGUCACUUCAGACCGUGGGGGUUCAAGUCCCUUCGUCCGCACCA